AAAGUCGUAACAAGGUCUCCGUUGGUGAACCAGCGGAGGGAUCAUUAAAGAGUUGUAAACAAAACUCCAACCCGUGUUAAUUUUACCUACAAAUCGUUGCUUCGGUAGAGGAGGCCCUCCUAGGGCUAAGACUGCCGAAGGUUUUUAAAAUUUUUAGUUUUUCAAUAUCUUUCUGAGUAAAUAUAUAAAUCAAGUUAAAACUUUCAACAACGGAUCUCUUGGUUCUG
rnacentral:misc_RNA from 1 species